rnacentral:misc_RNA from 1 species
GGAAGGAUCAAUGAAACUUGUUUCUACCAAUAUCAACCAAAUGUGAACUGUACGUCCCUAUUCACUACUUGUAUUGGAUUGAUUUCGGUCAAUUCAUGCGGGUAGUGCGAUAGACAAUACCAUCUACAGUAGUUAUUAAUGACUUCACCGUUGUUAAUAAUGAAACUAUUCACCAUUUUUAACCCUAUACUAUUUAACCUGUCUAAUCUUCAUAAACUUACUGACUGCUUCGGUGGUUAAUAAGCUUUACGAAAUAUUGAACAACUCUUAGCAAUGGAUAUCUUGGGUCAUGUAACGAUGAAGAACGCAGCGAAAUGCGAUAUGUAAUGCGAAUUGCAGAAUUCAGUGAAUCAUCAAAUCUUUGAACGCAAAUUGCGCUCUCGGGUAUGCCUGGGAGCACGCUUCUUUGAGUAUCGGUUCUAUCAACCAUCAACAGCUUUCUGUGAAAAUGGAAUGGCGUAGUUGGAUACUGAGUGUUUCCUUGCUCGCUUUUGUGAGCAACGAAUUGCUUGAAACGAUAGAAAUAACGUAGGCUGAACUCUCUCAGCAUUGGAAUACAAGCUUUCGAGCUUGUGUUUCUAGUUUGCACCUUGUCGGCUUUGAUUUGGAAAAGCUGAUGACGUAGAUAAUUGCCUUGUGCAAAUUCAACGUGAUCAGUCCAGUAGAUUUCAAGGCUUGUGCAAAUGAAGGGCUGCAUUGAUGCUUCUUCCUAUUUCUCUAUACAAAAGAAUUGGGUAACUAAUUCCUUUUGGCACGAUGAAACUUCGGUUUGAUUGUGUAUGAGACCUCCGAAUUAGAUCUCAGAUGAAGCGAGAUUACCCCCUGAAUUUAAGCAUAUUAAUAAGGGGAGGAAAAGAAAAUAACAAUGAUUCCCCUAGUAACGGCGAGUGAAGCGGGAAGAGCUCAAAUUGAAAAUCGGCUACCCAAGCGGGUUGUCGAAUUGUAGCCUAGAGACACGUUGUCAGUGUGUGACCCAGGUAUAAGUCUUUUGAAACAAGGCAUCACAGAGGGUGAGAAUCCCGUCUUUGAUCUGGAGUUCGCCACGUACGACGCGUGUUCAUCGAGUCGAGUUGUUUGGGAUUGCAGCUCUAAAUGGCGGGUAAAUUUCCGCUAAAGCUAAAUAUUGACAUGACACCGAUAGCGAACAAGUACCGUGAGGGAAAGAUGAAAAGAACUUUGAAAAGAGAGUUAAAAAGUACUUGAAAUUGUUAAGAGGGAAGCGCUGGAAACCAGUCUAUAUGCGACUAUUUUGGUGUUGAUCGUGGGGUCUGUGGUAUGUGCAGUGGUCAAACCUGCAUGUGUUACAGGUCUUACGGUUGGCAUUUUCAGUUGUCGCAUUCGAGUCAGAAUCAAUUCGGUUCGUGUGAGAAAGUUGUGGGGAAGGUAGGGUAAGCAAUUACCUGAAGCCCUGUAGCUCUAACAUGGACUGGAUUGAGGAAGUAAUAACAUGCCUGCUGGCUUCAUCUAAUGGCUCCUGCUGGCUGAGUGGGGUUAGGAUAGCAAUGCUAUACGAUCUCACUUGGUAGGUACUGGGUUGUUAGAUGCUAUGUGUUAUCACGAUUCUGACGAAAUGGUUUCCAUCGACCCGUCUUGAAACACGGACCAAGGAGUCUAACAUCUAUGCGAGUAUUUGGGUGGAAAACCCUUAUGCGUAAUGAAAGUAAAGGUACUUCGUGUACUGAGGUAGGAAGCCGGCAACGGUGGCACUAUCGACCGAUCAUCACUUGUGAAAGAUUUGAGUAAGAGCAUAUCUGUUGGGACCCGAAAGAUGGUGAUCUAUGCCUGAACAGGGUGAAGCCAGGAGAAAUUCUGGUGGAGGCUCGUAGCGAUACUGACGUGCAAAUCGUUCGUCUGAUUUGGGUAUAGGGGCGAAAGACUAAUCGAACCAUCUAGUAGCUGGUUCCCUC